rnacentral:rRNA from 1 species
GAUGAACGCUGGCGGCGUGCCUAAUACAUGCAAGUCGAGCGAACGGACGAGAAGCUUGCUUCUCUGAUGUUAGCGGCGGACGGGUGAGUAACACGUGGAUAACCUACCUAUAAGACUGGGAUAACUUCGGGAAACCGGAGCUAAUACCGGAUAAUAUUUUGAACCGCAUGGUUCAAAAGUGAAAGACGGUCUUGCUGUCACUUAUAGAUGGAUCCGCGCUGCAUUAGCUAGUUGGUAAGGUAACGGCUUACCAAGGCAACGAUGCAUAGCCGACCUGAGAGGGUGAUCGGCCACACUGGAACUGAGCCACGGUCCAGACUCCUACGGGAGGCAGCAGUAGGGAAUCUUCCGCAAUGGGCGAAAGCCUGACGGAGCAACGCCGCGUGAGUGAUGAAGGUCUUCGGAUCGUAAAACUCUGCUAUUAGGGAAGAACAUAUGUGUAAGUAACUGUGCACAUCUUGACGGUACCUAAUCAGAAAGCCACGGCUAACUACGUG